GUACACUCAAAGAGUCUCCGCAAAACGAGGGUUCCUUCAUUUGACGCUUCCCCGCUCGCUCCUCUCUACACAGAGUCUUUCGUAGUCAGAAGAAGAAAGAAGGGCGCCAUUUCUGCAGAGAUCCAGCUUUCCUAUCAGACCUUCAGGUUAGCAAAAAUGUCAGUAAAACCAACAGUUGCUUUGAGAGCCAUACUUGUGGGAGGGAUAGCCGCGUUUGCAAAAAUUGGCGGUGCCAUGAAGGCCGCAGGAGGGGUGAAGCUAGGUGCAGCGGCGGCUGCAGUGACAGCUGCGGCAUCUGCAGCCGUUUCAGGAUCCAAGCAAGAACCACAGGAGGCUUCUAAACAGUUGCCAAAAUAACGUCUCAUUGUUUAUUCUGUUAAAUGUCUUGAAAUAAAAGUUUUAGGCUUAGUGGCAGUUGCUAGUUGAAUUGUUUGACAAGGCAACGCCAAGUAGGAAGAGAUGUUAUACCAUGCGAGGAUAAAAUUGGUUAUUUGUCAUAAAGCUUGGGCAUGUAAGACUUUGUAAUACACCAAAUCCUUGAGAAAAUUUCCCCACUUUUUAUUCUUUACAUGCACA